rnacentral:lncRNA from 1 species
CCUCGCUGUAGGAGGGCCCUCCAAGAGCCCCUGAUGAAUUUAUUUGGCUGGUAAAAAAAAGAAAAACAAUUCCCGUUCUUUCUGUUUGAUAAAUCACCAGCACAGCUCCAUGAUGUCUC